ensembl:lncRNA
GCGUGAAUCUUCAGAGGGCGAGGGGUGUAAAACUCCCCCAAGGUCUUUCCUGGAGGACCAGACUGAAACACGAGCUACAGUUCACGUAGGUUCUGUCAGUAAUUCUGACGUGCCCUGUGUUUCUGAAACAACAUCCUGAUCCUGUGAUGGCUGAUGGUUCAACAUUAUUUUAUCAGGAAAUAGAGCAGAAUGACCAGGGACAUAGGCUUUGUGACCAGCUCCAAGCCUUGCUUCUGGACAGCUGUGAUCUUGAGUAAGUCUCCAACAGUAAAACCAAGGAAGCGUGUACCAUUGCAGGACUGUUAUCAAUUAGACCCUGAUGGUGAAAUUGGGCCAACUACUUACAGCCUCUUGCCCAGCUCUGGGCCUUGGGUGGCAGGGAGAGCCGAGCUCUGUUUCUGGGUCAGCUUCUGCCCUGGGGCGGGCGGCAGAGCUGCUGCAGGUGGGGCCACUGGCACCUCCAAAAGAAAUCACAUUUACCCACCUACCACCACUCGGACUGUGCCGUGCACAUAAGCUUUCCCUGUUGAGCAGUUAGCACGUCCUAAGACGUUUUAUCGUUUCAAUGGUCUAAAUUGUCUGUGUGACCUGAAGUGCAUGCAUGUCACCUGCCCAGGUCACCUUGGGACUUGAGAGAAGAGGUAGGCCACUAAUCCAGCCAUGGCCACAGUCUUACCCCUGAGAUGGCAGCGUGGACUGGGCUCCGGUGUGCCCAGCGUGGCCUGCAGAGUGCCCAGUGUGCCCAGGACAGCUGUCUGCUACAGCAGGCAGCCAGUCCUACUUGGAAGUAGGUCAUCUCUGAGCAUCCUUCCAGCAACGUUUCUGCCGUGUUUUUUUUUUUCCCCUCCCCUCCAGGGACCAAAAAGGUCCACUGGAGAGGAAAAUUGAGAGACCAGACCUUUGCAGUGUCCAGACCUCGAGCCCCGUCCUGAAUAAGCUCAGGCUGCUGGUUGGUUUACCCGUUAGUGAACCGUAAUUGUCGCACUCCACAGCGCACCUCUGGACACCUUCCUUCCUAGUGGAAGAAGCCACGUGUCAGGUUGUUGAAGUCCUAAGUCUCUCAGGUUUUGGUGGCUGGUUGACAAAUCAGUGGGUAAACCUGGCUGCUGCAGCUCCCUGGCUUCAAAUCCCUGUGAACCGAAUGAAAAACAGCGAAGCCGCUUGUCUUCCCAGCUCCCCAACUCUGAUCAAAGGUUUUGCGUGUCAGCUCCCUCCUGCCCCAUCCCACCCUUCAACCCACCUUCCCUUGUGGUUUUAUUUUGAGGAAGUUGUCAGGAAAGGUAGCACUGAAAACAUGCUAUGAUGUAACACCCAUGUGUGUAACUGUUUCCUGCCGGGUUUCUCAGGCCAGAGUAGGUGGCUGGUGGGCCUUCUGUAGCACUGACUUCCCGCAAGAUCGCAGGCUGCCUGCUGAUGCCCGUUGUUCCUGACCUGGAAAGCCAGUGUGAUCCUUAGCGAAGACCACGUGCUGGUCAGCACCUGGGGGGAACCAAGCGAGAACCGUCC